UACGUAGGUGGCAAGCGUUGUCCGGAUUUACUGGGCGUAAAGAGCGCGCAGGCGGUCGUUCAAGUCGCGUGUGAAAGCCCCCGGCUCAACUGGGGAGGGUCACGCGAUACUGAUCGACUCGAAGGCAGGAGAGGGAAGUGGAAUUCCCGGUGUAGUGGUGAAAUGCGUAGAUAUCGGGAGGAACACCAGUGGCGAAGGCGGCUCUCUGGACCGAGACUGACGCUGAGGCGCGAAAGCGUGGGGAGCAAACAGG
rnacentral:rRNA from 1 species